GCCCAAUGCUUAAUAGGAUUAAUAGGAGACUCAUUCCAACAAGUUGCAACUUCUUUUCUGGGAGCCUAUCUCGAAAGAACUCUAAAGUUAAGCGUGCUUGGCCUAGAGCAAUUUAGGGAUGGGUGACCGACCGGGAAGUAGUUCCCAGGUGCGCACGAGUGAGGAAAAAGUGUGCAGAAAAGACUAGUGUUGGUCUGUGGGUGCUGACUAUGUCCUAGAAAAGUGCGCACGAGUGAGGAAAAAGUGUGCAGAAAAGACUAGUGUUGGUCUGUGGGUGCUGACUAUGUCCUAGAAAAGCUGCCAGAUGUAAGCGGGCCCAGCCUCGUGGAGGCGGGACAUUACAAAAUCUCUGAGUUUUAUUUGAAAAUCUGCAAAAACUCCAGAGCUAUAGCUGAUCAAGAAUAAGAGACAUGGCACUUGACUAGACUGUUCUAUCUUUUAAGUCUUGACAGUUUACACUAAC
rnacentral:lncRNA from 1 species